UACGGGGGGGGCAAGCGUUGUCCGGAAUCAUUGGGCGUAAAGAGCGCGUAGGCGGCUCGGUAAGUCCGCUGUAAAAGUCAAAGGCUCAACCUUUGAAUGUCAGUGGAAACUGCCGGGCUAGAGUCCGGAAGAGGCGAGUGGAAUUCCUGGUGUAGCGGUGGAAUGCGCAGAUAUCAGGAGGAACACCAACGGCGAAGGCAGCUCGCUGGGACGGUACUGACGCUGAGGCGCGAAAGCGUGGGGAGCGAACAGG
rnacentral:rRNA from 1 species